rnacentral:rRNA from 1 species
CGCGGCCUAUCAGCUUGUUGGUGGGGUAAUGGCCUACCAAGGCGACGACGGGUAGCCGGCCUGAGAGGGUGACCGGCCACACUGGGACUGAGACACGGCCCAGACUCCUACGGGAGGCAGCAGUGGGGAAUAUUGCACAAUGGGCGCAAGCCUGAUGCAGCGACGCCGCGUGAGGGAUGACGGCCUUCGGGUUGUAAACCUCUUUCAGUAGGGAAGAAGCCGUGAGGUGACGGUACCUGCAGAAGAAGCGCCGGCUAACUACGUGCCAGCAGCCGCGGUAAUACGUAGGGCGCAAGCGUUAUCCGGAAUUAUUGGGCGUAAAGAGCUCGUAGGCGGUUUGUCGCGUCUGCUGCGAAAGACCGGGGCUCAACUCCGGUUCUGCAGUGGGUACGGGCAGACUAGAGUGCAGUAGGGGAGACUGGAAUUCCUGGUGUAGCGGUGAAAUGCGCAGAUAUCAGGAGGAACACCGAUGGCGAAGGCAGGUCUCUGGGCUGUAACUGACGCUGAGGAGCGAAAGCAUGGGGAGCGAACAGGAUUAGAUACCCUGGUAGUCCAUGCCGUAAACGUUGGGCACUAGGUGUGGGGGACAUUCCACGUUUCCGCGCCGUAGCUAACGCAUUAA